rnacentral:rRNA from 1 species
GAUGAACGCUGGCGGCGUGCCUAAUACAUGCAAGUCGAGCGAAGCGGGAAGGGGUGAGUAACACGUGGAUAACAUCCUAUAAGACUCUGAUAAAGUCGUGGAACCGGAGCUAGACACGAGACUCAUAGAUGCAUACGUGCUGCAUUAGCUAGUUGGUAAGUUAACGGCUUACCAAGGCACCGAUGCAUAGCCGACGUGAGAGGGAGAUCGGCCAGACUGGAACUGAGACACGGUCCAGACUCAUACGCGAGGCAGCAGUAGGGAAUCCUACGCAAUGGGCGAAAGCCGGACGGUGCAACGCCGCGGGAAUGAUGAAGGUCUGCGGAUCGUAAAACUCUGUAAUUAUGGAAGCGGUACCUUAACAGAAAGCCACGGCUAACUACGUGCCAGCAGCCGCGGUAAUAC